rnacentral:rRNA from 1 species
UACGAAGGGUGCAAGCGUUAAUCGGAAUUACUGGGCGUAAAGCGUGCGUAGGUGGUUUUUUAAGUCUGCUGUGAAAGCCCUGGGCUCAACCUGGGAAUGGCGGUGGAUACUGAAAAGCUAGAGUGCGGUAGAGGAGGGUGGAAUUCCCGGUGUAGCGGUGAAAUGCGUAGAGAUCGGGAGGAACGUCAGUGGCGAAGGCGGCCCUCUGGACCAGCACUGACGCUGAGGCACGAAAGCGUGGGGAGCAAACAGG